AUGGCCGGUGGUAAAGGAGUUCAGCAGCGCACCACCUCGGGUGGUUCCCAGGCGCGGCCAUCACAGGACGGCUCCCAGUCGCCGGCUCCGGAGGAGCGGCGAGGGCGCAGCCGCUCCAGGCGCGGCCAUCGCGGUGAGGUCGUGGUUAGGGAGAUCGUGCGUGAGACCGCGGUCAGUGGUAGCGUACCCAUCACCUUCCCGAUGCUCACGCGCUCGAACUACAGCGAGUGGGCGUUGAUCAUGGAGUGCAACCUCCAUGCAGCGAGCCUCUGGGCUCCCAUGGAGGACGACCUGAUCGAGAGAAAGGAGGACAGGAAAGCCGUGGCAGCACUCAUGCGCGCCACGCCACUGGAGAUGCACGGCAUGCUCGCGGCGAAGGCAAGCGCCAAGGAGGCGUGGGAAGCCAUCCGUACCCAGCGCCUCGGCAGCAACCGCGUGCGCGAGGCGAACGCGCAGAAGCUGCGGGCGGACUUCGAGAACAUCGCCUUCAAGGAGGGCGAGCUCGUCGACGACUUCGCCAUGCGGAUCUCCAGCCUUGCGUCACUGCUCCGCGCGCUCGGCGACACCAUGGACGACGCGAGAGUCGUGCGGAAAUUUCUCCGCGUCGUGCCAUCUCGCUUCGCUCAGGUAGCGGUCUCCAUCGAGACCUUGCUUGACCUGAGUGAGCUCUCCAUCGAGGAGCUCACGGGCCGGUUGCGGGUGGUCGAGCACCGCCUUGACGACGGCCGCGAGAGCUUUGGCGGCGGACAACUCCUAUUCUCAAAGAAGUGGGAGGCCAGGAAGCGUCAAGGACGUGGUGGCGGUGCCCAGAGCAGCGGAGGCGGCACCGGCAGAGGCGGCGGUCGCACCCAGGGUGGAGCUGGACGAGAUGCCGGCAGCGACGACCGAGACAAGUGCCGAUAUUGCAGCAUCAAGGGCCACUGGGCCCGUGAGUGCCGCAAGAGGAUGGCUGACGAGGAUGUCGCAGCCGCGGCGAACCUCGUCCAGGCUGAAGAGGACGGUGGGCCAGCAAUGAUGAUGGCUUGCGUCGAGACCAUGCAGGAGGACCCAGCGCCUCCGGCGACCAUGGUCCCGACAAGCAUCGAAGCCGUGCAGGAGGGCGCAGCACCUCCGGCGACCACGGUGCCGGCAACCGUUAAGUCCGUGCGGGAGGCACGGAGCUCUUCAAGUAAUCCCCUCUCGACAUCGGUAGCGCUCUCCUCGGCAACAACGUUCUGGGAGGCUACGAUUGGUAGGAGAUGA
rnacentral:rRNA from 1 species